rnacentral:rRNA from 2 species
ACAGGGACUUCGGUUCUUGUUCUAGCGGCGGACGGGUGAGUAACGCGUGAGCAAUCUGUCCCUCACAGGGGGAUAACACUUGGAAACAGGUGCUAAUACCGCAUAAGACCACGGAGUCGCAUGACUUUGAGGUCAAAGGAGCAAUCCGGUCUGAGGUGAGCUCGCGUCCCAUUAGGUAGUUGGUGAGGUAACGGCCCACCAAGCCUGCGAUGGGUAGCCGACCUGAGAGGGUGAUCGGCCACACUGGAACUGAGACACGGUCCAGACUCC